rnacentral:rRNA from 1 species
UUUUGAAGAUCAGCGGCGGACGGGUGAGUAACACGUGGGCAACCUGCCUGUAAGACUGGGAUAACUUCGGGAAACCGGAGCUAAUACCGGAUAAUCCUUUCCCUCACAUGAGGGAAAGCUGAAAGACGGUUUCGGCUGUCACUUACAGAUGGGCCCGCGGCGCAUUAGCUAGUUGGUGAGGUAACGGCUCACCAAGGCAACGAUGCGUAGCCGACCUGAGAGGGUGAUCGGCCACACUGGGACUGAGACACGGCCCAGACUCCUACGGGAGGCAGCAGUAGGGAAUCUUCCGCAAUGGACGAAAGUCUGACGGAGCAACGCCGCGUGAACGAUGAAGGCUUUCGGGUCGUAAAGUUCUGUUGUCAGGGAAGAACAAGUACCGGAGUAACUGCCGGUACCUUGACGGUACCUGACCAGAAAGCCACGGCUAACUACGUGCCAGCAGCCGCGGUAAUACGUAGGUGGCAAGCGUUGUCCGGAAUUAUUGGGCGUAAAGCGCGCGCAGGCGGUUCCUUAAGUCUGAUGUGAAAGCCCCCGGCUCAACCGGGGAGGGUCAUUGGAAACUGGGGAACUUGAGUGCAGAAGAGGAGAGCGGAAUUCCACGUGUAGCGGUGAAAUGCGUAGAGAUGUGGAGGAACACCAGUGGCGAAGGCGGCUCUCUGGUCUGUAACUGACGCUGAGGCGCGAAAGCGUGGGGAGCGAACAGGAUUAGAUACCCUGGUAGUCCACGCCGUAAACGAUGAGUGCUAAGUGUUAGAGGGUUUCCGCCCUUUAGUGCUGCAGCAAACGCAUUAAGCACUCCGCCUGGGGGAGUACGGCCGCAAGGCUGAAACUCAAAGGAAUUGACGGGGGCCCGCACAAGCGGUGGAGCAUGUGGUUUAAUUC